rnacentral:siRNA from 1 species
CUCAGGCACUUCUUCUUCUGC